rnacentral:tRNA from 1 species
CCACCCGUAGCUCAGCUGGAUAGAGUACACGCCUCCGAAGCGUGCGGUCACAGGUUCAAUUCCUGUCGGGUGGG